rnacentral:rRNA from 1 species
GGGUAGUGCGUGCCGGGAGGCGCGGGAAGUCGGAGGGGGGAGAGGGUAACCGGACUGAUUGGGCGGAAAGGGCGCGGAGGCGGCCUGUUAAGUCCGCGGUGAAAGUCAAAGGCGCAACCUUGGAACGGCGGUGGAGACUGGGGGGCUAGAGUCCGGAAGAGGGGAGUGGAAUUCCUGGUGUAGCGGUGGAAUGCGCAGAUAUCAGGAGGAACACCAAUAGCGAAGGCAGCUCGCUGGGACGGUACUGACGCUGAGGCGCGAAAGCGUGGGGAGCGAACAGGAUUAGAUACCCCUGUAGUC